GGACAGACACAAGACUCCAUUAAGCACAUGGUUGCAAAAAGACACAAAGCACUUUAAAAUACAUAAAGUCACAUUUAUACAUAAAACACAGACAUUUCACAUAUCCCCAGAUAGCUCAGGUCUGAGCGCACAUUAUUAAGUGAAUGGCGCUCGGACCACACAAAUACAGUUUAAUCACCAUGGAGCCAAAGUCUUUACAGU